ACAAAAUCAAUGAAGUUCUUUUUUAUUUUUAUUUUUUAAAUGUAUAAAGCUAAGAAACUGCAGGAGGGCAGAAUCCACUCUGCAAGAGGAAGUCUAGCUGCAGGACAAAGGAGCAUCAAAGUAUCACCCUUGCACACUCAAUGAAGAUGAGUGAUACCAGGAGUGAUUGUUGCUCAUUUCCUUUUAGUCACUGAAUGAUGAGUUUCAAGGAAGAUCAUAAAGGAGCCAAAGAAGAACCAGAUACAGUUGACACAACAUCUAUUAAGGACUAUACCGCAGAACAAGGACCAUUGAAACUGGAAGACUCAUGCUCUAAUUUGUAUGGGUGAUGUGAACUUAAAACAUUAGCAACCAAAUAGUCAAUACAUUAAGAGCUGUUGUGAACUCUGCAUAGGCUUCCCAGCUUGGCCUCCUGAUGUCAAGAUCCUAUUAAGUCUCUGCCAGCUGUGAGAUGCAUCAUUCUGUAUGCACCAACCUGUGUAGACUCUAUCUCUAGAGGCCAUCAAGCAUGUAAUUUCCCUCUCAGUGCAGUUCACUGCACAGGUUCAGAUAAGUAUUCUUUAUAUCCCACAUAAGAUUAGGAUGUAACUGCAUCUAGCUUUAGAAUGGUUGUGCUAAGGUCUUUGAUGAGAACACCAAACUGGAGCCCAAAGUGUUGGAUGAUUUCCAGGCAGUAUCCACUUUGUUAAUUUGGGCAAAUUCUUAGUAUUUGUAUUAAAACUUUGGCUGCUAGAAUGUACUGCUCCAGAGUGGCUAAUUUUGUCUCACAUUUUUGUU